UACGUAGGGCGCAAGCGUUGUCCGGAAUUAUUGGGCGUAAAGAGCUCGUAGGCGGUCUGUCACGUCUGCCGUGGAAAACCCGAGGCUUAACCUCGUGGCUUGCGGUGGAUACGGGCAGACUAGAGGUAGGUAGGGGAGAACGGAAUUCCCGGUGUAGCGGUGAAAUGCGCGAUAUCGGGAGGAACACCGGUGGCGAAGGCGGUUCUCUGGGCCUUGA
rnacentral:rRNA from 1 species